GACGAACGCUGGCGGCGUGCCUAAUACAUGCAAGUCGAGCGAAGCGGGGACGGGUGAGUAACACGUGGCUAACCUCCUAUAAGACUGGGUUAACUUCGGUCAACCUUCGCCAAUCCCGUUCCUUCUCCUUGUAUCCGAGCUGCAUUAGCUACUUGGUAAGGUAACGGCUUACGAAGGCAACGAUGCAUAGCCGACCUGAGAGGGUGAUCGGCCACACUGGAACUGAGACACGGUCCAGACUCCUACGUGAGGCAGCAGUAGGGAAUCUUCCGCAAUGGGCGAAAGCCUGACGCAGCAACGCCGCGUGAGUGAUGAAGGUCUUCGGAUCGUAAAACUCUGUUAUUAGGGAAGCGGUACCUAAAGAGAAAGCCAAGGAUAACUGCGUGCCAGCCGCCGCGGUAAUUC
rnacentral:rRNA from 1 species